CAGCCGCCGCGGUAAUACGUAGGGGGCGAGCGUUACCCGGAUUCACUGGGCGUAAAGCGGGUGUAGGCGGCUCGGUAAGUCGGGUGUGAAAUCCCACAGCUCAACUGUGGAAUUGCGCCCGAAACUGCUGAGCUUGGGGCCGGUAGAGGGAGACGGAAAUGCCGGUGUAGGGGUGAAAUCCGUAGAUAUCGGCAGGAACGCCGGUGGGGAAGCCGGUCUCCUGGGCCGCGCCCGACGCUGAGACCCGAAAGCUAGGGGAGCAAACCGGAUUAGAUACCCGGGUAGUCCUAGCCGUAAACGAUGCCCACUAGGUGUGGGGGAUUAAUUCCUCCGUGCUGUAGCUAACGCGUUAAGUGGGCCGCCUGGGGAGUACGCCCGCAAGGGUGAAACUUAAAGGAAUUGGCGGG
rnacentral:rRNA from 1 species